UAAAGUUGUUGCAUCUUCUUGGUUUCAUGCUUGCUGCUUCUUCAUCACAUAUCUGUUCUUGAGUUCACACUAUAUCAGAAAAGACUGAAUCUAUAAAACAUAUGCAGAAUAAGUGAUCGGCUAAAGAUGGAGAACUUAAGCACUAGGGAAAGCUCCCAAAGACUCUUCUAUGCUCCUCCUGAAGACUUAUACUGAUACUAACAAGUUCUCCAUAGUUGCUGGGCCUGAUGGUAAUCUUCAUAGAGGUGUCGACCCUUAGGUUCUUCUCCAUGAAAUCCUUCAACCAUUCUUGAAGCUGAUACGCCAUCCUUGGAGGUCCUGUAAACAGCAGUAAUGAUGUCCCCUGCUCCCAAAACGUAUUCCAAAACUGAUAUGCCAUUUGCUUUGUGACCUCUAUAGUCGUCAUACAUGCAGAUUUGGCACUCCAUCUAUAAGGCACAUGAUGAAUACGGAAAAACUGUUUGUCAGUAUACUGAAAUAAGAAUGAUUGAACUUAAACUCAACAAUGAACUUAACUUGAAGAAGUUUUGCUUUAUAGGAAAACACGGCUAAAAAAUGAUCAACAAUAAAAACAGAAAAUGCAUUGAAAGCUUUAUUAGAGGGCUCUAGGUGAAACAAUAAUGGAACUAAUCAAUUGACUAAAUCUGAUCAACAAGAGGAAAUCACGGAGGCGUUUUCUUUGGGAUAGAACAUAAUUUUUUUUCCAGCUAUCGACAACUAAAAAAUGAACAGACAGAGCUGGCUUUCCUAUUCCCAGAAGAAGAAACUAGACUGCGUAUACAUAACGUAGGCUGACCGUCAGAAAUCUGAUUGUUGGGUAUACCAUAAAAAAAAUCUGAAGCAAAACAUAUCUAAAAAAUCUGUCUUCACACACUAAGAAAAACAUCCACUAGCACGAUGGAAAACAAAAUCGACUAUGCCUGACCAAAAAUUAUAAAACAUGAUCAAAAUGACAAUCUAGACUGACAAAUGGUAGAAGAAUAAAAAUGAAAUAUGUUACAACUUAGCUACUAGUAGCACUUCUAAAACUAAGCAUCAAAAAGGAAUAAUAUCAUAUCGCUAGAAACACUAGAAUAAACAUACUAUAGUGAAAUAAUAACAUAACUCGGGCCUCUAAAUUCUUACAAAUAAACAUACUAUAGUGAAAUUACACUCAGACUAAAAAAGAGAUAUACAUCAAACAAAAAAUAUCUACAGAAAGAUAUAUCACAACCAUUACUAAUCUAACCUAAGAAAGCGAAAUUAAGCUGACAAAAUGAUACUCUACAGUUUCUUCACGGUAGUACUCCUACAGAGAGAGAAAACACAUUCAAUCAGUUACCUGCCUCUCAUCAUCUACAACAUGCCUCGGCUCUCUAGAUUCUUACAAUAAACCAUACAAUACUGAAAUUACACUCAGACUAAAAGGAGAACUAUAUCCAAGACAAAAAAAGGGGCCUCUGAUCAUCUACAUCCACACAGACCUAAGUUAGGACAGAGACAAAAGUCAGUCCCAAUUCUGAUGUUCAGAUCCAAAAAAAUGAUCGGACAGGACACAUUCAGAAGUACAAAGAGAUCAAAACCCUAUUUUCCUUGUUGGGUUUCAUAUUGGGAUCUUGCCACUGCCCAAAAAAUAGGUGCAGUAGGCAGGAUCACAUACACAAAACAGAGCACACUCUCUGUAAUUCUCUGAUCUUCUUAUAGCUAAAUCUUCUUCUUACCCAUGGAGCUUCAGCCCGCCCAUGUUAAUCUUCUUCUCAACAAUUAUGCCCCAGCAACCUUUGCGGCCGCAGCUGUGAACUAAUGGACUGAUCGAUGCACACGCCUACACUGAUCCUGGUGAUGGAUCAGGGACUAACUGAGAAAAAAUCCACACAAACAUGCCUCGGGCCUCUAGAUUCUUACAAUAAACAUACUAUCGUGAAAUUUCACUCGAACUAAAAAGGAGAUCUACAUCCUACAUCAAAGACAACAUCGAGGCGGAAAUUUUGGUGAGGUGAAAAUUGGGGGAAACGAGAGGAGAGGUGCCUGCAGCUAAUACAGGGGCGUUUCUGAUGAACCACUCAAAAACUCCACUGGAAUGACCUAAGCUAUGACACACAAAACCAGCGAACUGAACCGCCCCUGGCCCCUGCGAUGAACGUCUAUGACCCGGCGACAAUCGCGACGAACUGAAUCCGCCCGGCGCAGGAGGGCAAAUACACAUGGGAUGGAAUUCACAGAGCGAGGAUAGCGGGGGACGAAUAAAUACCAUGCGCCCAACUGGCGCCGCCGACUACUGCCGCCUCCACCGACUGGAACUUGCUGGUGGCACGCACGACGGGGCAGCUCCGCCAAGUUCCUCUCCAGGCCAGCAUCUAUCCCACCUGCAGCCCCCUGCGUACAAGCUCUCCUUCCCUGGGGAGACUCGCCGCGCGCCAUCUCCGUUACUAAUCACCGGAGGAUCCCCUCCGCCGUCUCCGCCCCACCUCGGCCAGCUCCCACCGAUCCCCUCCUCAGAUAGAACAAAAGCCGCCG
rnacentral:lncRNA from 1 species